rnacentral:tRNA from 1 species
GGGAUCAUAGCUCAGCUGGGAGAGCAUCUGCCUUACAAGCAGAGGGUCAUAGGUUCGAGCACUAUUGGUCCCA